AUUGAACGCUGGCGGCAUGCCUUACACAUGCAAGUCGAACGGUAACGCGGGGCAACCUGGCGACGAGUGGCGAACGGGUGAGUAAUGUAUCGGAACGUGCCCAAUAGUGGGGGAUAGCCCGGCGAAAGCCGGAUUAAUACCGCAUGAGACCUGAUGGUGAAAGCGGGGGAUCGCAAGACCUCGCGCGGUUGGAGCGGCCGAUAUCAGAUUAGGUAGUUGGUGGGGUAAAGGCCUACCAAGCCUGCGAUCUGUAGCUGGUCUGAGAGGAUGACCAGCCACACUGGGACUGAGACACGGCCCAGACUCCUACGGGAGGCAGCAGUGGGGAAUUUUGGACAAUGGGCGCAAGCCUGAUCCAGCCAUGCCGCGUGCGGGAAGAAGGCCUUCGGGUUGUAAACCGCUUUUGUCAGGGAAGAAAUCUUCUGGGUUAAUACCUCGGGAGGAUGACGGUACCUGAAGAAUAAGCACCGGCUAACUACGUGCCAGCAGCCGCGGUAA
rnacentral:rRNA from 1 species